rnacentral:rRNA from 1 species
GACGAACGCUGGCGGCGUGCCUAAUACAUGCAAGUAGAACGCUGAAGGAGGAGCUUGCUUCUCUGGAUGAGUUGCGAACGGGUGAGUAACGCGUAGGUAACCUGCCUGGUAGCGGGGGAUAACUAUUGGAAACGAUAGCUAAUACCGCAUAAGAGUAGAUGUUGCAUGACAUUUGCUUAAAAGGUGCAAUUGCAUCACUACCAGAUGGACCUGCGUUGUAUUAGCUAGUUGGUGAGGUAACGGCUCACCAAGGCAACGAUACAUAGCCGACCUGAGAGGGUGAUCGGCCACACUGGGACUGAGACACGGCCCAGACUCCUACGGGAGGCAGCAGUAGGGAAUCUUCGGCAAUGGACGGAAGUCUGACCGAGCAACGCCGCGUGAGUGAAGAAGGUUUUCGGAUCGUAAAGCUCUGUUGUAAGAGAAGAACGAGUGUGAGAGUGGAAAGUUCACAC